rnacentral:tRNA from 1 species
UGGUCGCUGGGCUCAUCGGUCUCCACGCUUUGGCUGUGGCGUUGGAGAUCCUCAACCAC